rnacentral:rRNA from 1 species
GAUGAACGCUGGCGGCGUGCCUAAUACAUGCAAGUCGAGCGAACGGACGAGAAGCUUGCUUCUCUGAUGUUAGCGGCGGACGGGUGAGUAACACGUGUAUAACCUACCUAUAAGACUGGUAUCACUUCGGGAAACCGGAGCUUAUACCGGAUAAUAUUUUGAACCGCAUGGUUCAAAAGUGAGAUACGGUCUUGCUGUCACUUAUAGAUGGAUCCGCGCUGCAUUAGCUAGUUGGUAAGGUAACGGCUUACCAAGGCAACGAUGCAUAGCCGACCUGAGAGGGUGAUCGGCCACCCUGGAGCUGGGACACGGUCAUGACUCCUACGGGAGGCAGCAGUAGGGAAUCUUCCGCAAUGGGCGAAAGCCUGACGGAGCAAGGCCGCGUGAGUGAUGAAGGUCUUCGGAUCGUAAAACUCUGUUAUUAGGGAAGAACAUAUGUGUAAGUAACUGUGCAGAUCUUGACGGUAACUAGUCAGAAAGCAACGGCUAACUACGUG